GACGAACGCUGGCGGCGUGCUUAACACAUGCAAGUCGAACGGAAAGGCCUUUUCGGAGGUACUCGAGUGGCGAACGGGUGAGUAACACGUGGGUGAUCUGCCCUGCACUCUGGGAUAAGCCUGGGAAACUGGGUCUAAUACCGGAUAGGACCGCACUUUAGUGUGUGUGGUGGAAAGUUUUUUCGGUGUAGGAUGAGCCCGCGGCCUAUCAGCUUGUUGGUGGGGUAAUGGCCUACCAAGGCGGCGACGGGUAGCCGGACUGAGAGGUUGGUCGGCCACAUUGGGAUUGAGAUACGGCCCAGACUCCUACGGGAGGCAGCAGUGGGGAAUAUUGCACAAUGGGCGCAAGCCUGAUGCAGCGACGCCGCGUGGGGGAUGACGGCCUUCGGGUUGUAAACUCCUUUCGCCAGGGACGAAGCGUUUUGUGACGGUACCUGGAGAAGAAGCACCGGCUAUCUACGUG
rnacentral:rRNA from 1 species